ACUGAGACCUCACAAAACUACGCAGCAUUCUGAUAACUGUCCCACAUUUAACACGGCUCCCAAGUGGACAUCAGAAUGACAAAUUACCCUUCAAUGAUGUAAAUUCUAAGCACUAUAGAAAAUCUCUAAGUUCAACUAAAAUAAUUUAUAAAGUACAAGGUUCAUUUAACAAGUCAUUUCUGUGUAAAAUUAUAAUAUUUUAUGAGAAAGUGCAUAUCGAUAUAUAUGUCUUGUUGUACACACAUGCAAAAACAUGUACUGACUUGUGUAUUUGGGAUGUCUGUGUCCCAGAAAUGUUUUUUAUUAGCACCCCCAUACAGCAGCACCACUCUUGAUUAAUAAGGAUUUUAAAUGUCUUUAAGGUACCUGAGGUGUUACUGGCUUAAUUAGUAGAAAUCCUGACCAAAACUGGCUUAGGUUAUUAUUAUUUUUAACUAUACCUCACACAGUAGUCACAUUAUGACUUGUUCCUUUUCUCUAUAGUUUUUCUAGAACUAUCUUCCUUCACACACUCGCUUCAUCCCCAGAUUGAAAUGAAGGCAGUGACAACAAAUCAACCAUUGCAUCCAAAUGUAACACUGUCCAAAAAAAAAAAAACAUGGCCGUGUUUUUCCACAUCUCUCCACCAGAUCCUUCCAGAACAUCUCUUCUGUGGUUUGAAUGAGAAAUUACACUCAUGGGCUCACGCAUUUGAACACCUAGUCCCUGGUUAUUGGUCCAGUCUGGCUAUGGAACCUUUAGGAGGUGGACAGAGCCAUGUUGGAGAAAGUAUGCCAUUGGGAUAGUCAUUGUGAGUUCGUAAGCCUAUACUUCACUUCCUGUUUACUUCCUGGUAGACAGAUAUGUGCUUCUUCAGCUUCCUGCUCCAGCUGCCUGCCUACCAUUUGAGCAGAGAAGAGUACCAUGGAAGAGAAGAUGCUAUCCGGAGUACAGAAGCAAGCACACAGGUAACAACCCCAAGCCAAAGAAUGAAUGCAAAGGAUUGCUUUCAACAAGAAAGGAAAGAAAAGUUUGCACAGUUCUGCUGCAGGAGCCUCCCCGGGAAGCUAAGCCUGCAGACUUAAAUAUUACAAGAACCAAGAGAGACUCCACUAAUUUCUGUUCUUUUCUACCAUCCAGUUUUGGGUGAUUUCCUACAGAAGCCUGAGAAAACUAACACAGCAUCCUAAUUUUUUUCCUUAUAUUCCUUAUUUGGCCAUGUGUUCAUUUGUUUCUAAACUAAUUACAUGGAAGGAAACUGAUCAACACCCCUGAAUCAGAUGAGUCACUUGUGGCAAAAGGCAUUGUAUGAAUAUGGGGGUCAAUCACAAGGAACAAACCUGUCACAUUUGUUCUCUUUUUCCUUUUUCCUUCAUAUGUUCAAUCAAAAAAAAAUCUGUAGACUUUGCCUUGCAAAGGUCUUUGUGUAUGCAUAUUUAUUUUUUGAAUUUUUAAUACUUCAAAGCAUUGUGAUACCAUUUGAGAGAGGGGUGAAAAACAUGUCCAGAAGUAUCCUUAGUAUUUGGUACACACUGGAAUUUAUGUUCUGCAUAAAUUAAUAUGUUGAAAUUCUAAACCUCCUGGUUAUUAGCAGGUAGGGCCUUUGCCAGCUUACUGAGAUAUGAUGGCUUUCUUGUCCUGACUGCUACAGUGUUUCUAUAAGAAGAGUACAUGAACUCAACUCUACCAGCACCUCACAGUCUCUAGCUCAAAGGAGGCAUUGGCAGAGUUUGAUUCUGCUAAAACUCAGGCCUCAGACUUCCAGCUUCCAGAGCAGUGAGGAAUGAAAUUCUACUGCCUAUUAGCCACCCUGUCUGUGUUGGUUUGCUACAGUAGCUCAAAUGUUUGGGGGUGCCACAUAUGCCCAUUAACUGUUGUUCACGACCUCACAAAUAGGUGAUUAUUUUUACUACUUUCUCAUACACUGUCCAAAUGUUUCUAGAUGAAAAUGUUUCUGUAUUGCUAUGGGUGCAUUGCCUGCACAUAACGUGUUCCUUGC
ensembl:lincRNA Gm43567 predicted gene 43567